rnacentral:rRNA from 1 species
AUUGAACGCUGGCGGCAUGCCUUACACAUGCAAGUCGAACGGCAGCACGGGAGCAAUCCUGGUGGCGAGUGGCGAACGGGUGAGUAAUAUAUCGGAACGUGCCCGGUCGUGGGGAUAACGUAGCGAAAGCUACGCUAAUACCGCAUACGAUCUACGGAUGAAAGCGGGGGAUCGCAAGACCUCGCGCGAUUGGAGCGGCCGAUAUCAGAUUAGGUAGUUGGUGAGGUAAAGGCUCACCAAGCCGACGAUCUGUAGCUGGUCUGAGAGGACGACCAGCCACACUGGGACUGAGACACGGCCCAGACUCCUACGGGAGGCAGCAGUGGGGAAUUUUGGACAAUGGCGCAAGCCUGAUCCAGCAAUGCCGCGUGCAGGAUGAAGGCCUU